rnacentral:lncRNA from 1 species
UCCACUACCCCAUUGUCGUCGUCGUCGUCGUGGAGCAGGAGGGGCAGGGAUCUGCUGGUUUUAUGAGGCGCCCUACCCCUCCCUCCCAUUGUCCACCGCGGCGGCCGCUCCGGGAUGUGCCCGAUCUGCGCAGAUCCGCGAAGCGUUGCUGCAACCUACUACUAUGUACUAGUACUGUUACUCUUCAAAGUUCCCUCUCUUAUUAGUUGUUGCUAAAUUAAUGCUCCAAUGUCAGAUGUGGUAGCGUGACAGAUACUAUUUGGUUUUCCCGAGUCAAUCAUCACAUCGACAUAUCUAUAAUAAUUCAACUAGUAAUCGCAGACACCGACCUCCCAUCAUUAAUUUAAGCCAACACGCUAACCAAAACUCGAUCGAUCCAGUGCACCAUCGACGCCGCAGAUCUGUCCAGCAAAAAUGGAGCAAGUGGCCGGCCCGUGCAGAAACAGCAGAUUAUUUUAGCCAACAUGACGUGCUUAUUAAAGCCGAGGGAACAUGGAAUCUUUCACUAUGAGUAUUCGCUAACAACUGAAAAAAUAUCAUUAUCAGAGGGGGGCAACUUUUUCUUUUUGCAAUAUUCUUUUUUUUUUCUAUAAACCGCAGGAGCAGCAUCCUUCAAAGCUUAACAUGUUUCAAGCAGCAGACAGUUGUUCAAUCCGUACCAGCGAUGAGAGAUGUCAAAGACCAUUCGUGAAGAAUAACCAAGUCCAAACCAGUUCUUCACGGCUUGACGCGUAGCCAACUAAACAUCGCUACCAGAUCAGCUGUACAAUGGACAAACCUCGCCGAAUGCCAGCGAUAGAGCUCAAUGACGGUGAUAACAAGAACCGAACAAAUGCUGCAGUUGCAUCACGCCCUAAGGAUGUCUCCAGCAACGUUUCUCUGUAUCCGUCUUUUACAGAGUCUCCUUUACAGUCUCCUUUAAAAGAUUAUAUUCUCUAUAUCUCCUUCUUUCCAACAACGUCAUCUAAAUCACGUCAUCUAUACUCAAAUAUCUAUAUUAAAGACAUUUUUUAUUUUUAUUUUUUACAUACCUAUUUAUCAUACUCUCAAAUAUAUUGUAUAUAUUUUAGUUUUACUAAACCGUUUAUUUAAAAUAUUCAAAUAGAUAGAUGACCGUUUAGAGAAACUCUAAAUAUAGAGAAUCCAGCAGCGUUCUCUAAAUUUAGAGGACCGUUUAGAGGACGCUGCUAGAGAGCGUAGAGAGUUAUUUGAUCCUCUAUAUUUAGGGUACAAAAC